CUGGGAGCUUUGUAAGCCUGUGGUUUCUCUCCUCCUUGGUAAGUCUAUCCGUCAAUAGGUACUGUGCAGCUCCCACAGUGAAGAUGUGAAAAGAGAGCAGUGACAAAUAUCCUGUGAAAAUGAAACUUUGUCUCCUGUGACCGUGCAGAGCUCCAGCUAUUUUCCUGUGCAAACAGAGAAGGGUGUGGAUGGCAGAACCCAAUUUACCUUGAGAGACAAAACUUAAAGUUAAUGGCUGUUCACAGCUUGAAAGAACAAGACCUCCACUACUUUGUAAGUCUUUCCUCCCCAGAGGUAGCCUCUUGGUUUAGUAAAUUGAAACUUCAAUCCUAAUGGUUUUUUAGAAUUUGGUUCAAAGGUAAAGCGUAGAAAGGCAAAAUGUGAUAGGCUAUAUUUUUUAUAUUUAAGAUACUAUAUAAUUAUAAACAUAUAGUAGUGAAAGUUAUUCUGUUCCCC
rnacentral:lncRNA from 10 species